GAUGUGUUUUGCCUUCUCUGUCUCUGCCAGGCAAUCUAAGUGAUUCUGGGCUGGAGUCAAAAAUCAGUGCAGCUGUCUGUGUUUCAGAUUAUUUUUUUAACAACUGAAGGGAGAUGAGUUUCAUCAAGACAGCCAUUAACUUGAUGACAUACCGUAGCUCACUUCAUACAACCCAUGCUCAUAAUCUUCCUCAAGCAAAUGUGUGAUAAAGAAAUGUAGGAGUAGUGCUUGGUAUCUGUGUAACUAUGUCCGAGCACAGCCUCUUAGGCUUGGGCAAAAUUACUCAGUUUGGAUGGAAAAGACUAUUGACAGCCUUAGGAAGUUAGAAAUCUCAACUUACAAAACGCUCCCAAAUGUAAGAUUGUGAAAGUGAGUGCUGCAACUGUUGGAAAGCAGCCCUGUGUGACUUACCAGAAGGGAGGCCCGUCUGCUCGUGAGGAAAGACAACUGGUGGAAGCUCCGAGAAGAAACACUGUGAUUUCAAAAGGCAUAACUGGGCUCUAAAGCAGAGACAACUGCAACUGCAGCGUCAAAAAGAGCAUAGAGAAACACUGGGCUAUACUUGCAUUUCAUGUUAUCACUGCCGCAUGAGGGAAGAGGAAGUUGGGCUGCAGCUCUGAUGUGCUUUCAUUUGUUGUUUAGUUCAUCUUCAGCAAAGACACCCUGAUGUGAGUGCUAUAAUAACUGUGUGAUGGUUGCCACUUCACUGGAACUCUUUUUAGCAAUGUGCGUUGGCUGCUUAGUAGCUACAGAUCCCAGUAAUGUAAUAGUCACCCAAACACCAACGGAGAUGCACCUAUCUAUUGGAGACUCCGCUGAAAUAGCCUGUAUUUGGGAAAAGUCAAUUAAGAGAUAUAGAAUCAGCUGGUAUCUUGUUAAUAAAGAGAACAUCACCAGAACUGUAUCAUCAAAACUUGUCUAUAUACACAACGUCACCCAUCAAAUCAAGGAUGUCCUAGUGAUUGAAGCUGCCACUACAAAUCUCACUGGGUUUUACUACUGUGAGAUAAUUAUUGAAAUACCUUUCUAUAAAAAAGCAUAUGGAAACGGAACAACACUGGUCGUUGAAGAGCAAGAAGCUCAGUCAUUGGAGAAGAACACAUCGGUAGUUUGGGUCAUCGUUCCCAUCAUUCCUUUCUUAGCUACAAUGGGAAGCUUAUAUUUUUGCUACAAAAAGAAACAGUUGACAUUUUCUGCCCAGAAAGCCAGCUGUAUCCUGUGUUGCAACUGUAUUAGUGGGGUCAGCAGAUCAAGAACCUGCUCCUCUGCACUGGUGAGACCCCAGCUGGGGUAUUGCAUCCAGAUGUGGAGUCCUCAGUCCAGAAGAGACAUGGACCUGUUGGAGCACGUCCAGAAGACACUGCAAAGAUGAUCCAAGGGAUGGAACACCUCUCCUACAAGGACAGGCUGAGAGAGCUGGGGCUGUUCAGUCUGCAGAAGAGAAGUCUCUGUGGAGACCAGAAGGUGGCCUUUCAAUGUCUAAAGGGGGGCUGUAAGAAAGAAGCACACAGACUAUUCAGCAGCAUCUGUUGUGACAGAACAAGGGGAAAUGGUUUCAGACUAAAAGGGAGGAGAUGUUCCCACAUGUUGCCCAGAGGGGUGGUGGAUGCCCCAUCCUUGGAGACAUUCAAGGUCAGGCUGGAAGGAGCUCUGAGCAGCCUGAUCAAAUUGUAGGUGUCUCUGUUCAUUGCAGGGAAGUUGGAUUAGAUGAUCUUUAAACAACUCAAACGAAUCUAUGAAUGUAUGAUUCUGUUUUGAUAACUGGAGGUGAUACAGGAAUGGAACUUGAGGUCUAUGUGAGAACUGGUAAGUAGUAGGUGUCUACUUAGAGGUAAGCUGAUUGGUUAUCUAGACUACUUUUUGUGGCACGUGCUGUUGACAAGAUCUCUAUCACAUAAGAAAAAUUGAGAAAUCAGAAGGUAGCUGAUAUCACCUGCCUGCGGAAUGCCAUACUCAAUGACUGGCCAUACAUGAGCUCUGCACACUUUGUUUCAGCAGUUUUCUCAGAAUAAAAGUGUGGGCAACAAGAAAGCAGUGACCAUAACUUUUUUCUGCUAAGGUUCUGCCCAGCUUCCUGCACCACAAGAAGGGCAUCAGGAGGAGCAGACACUUGAGGUGGCAGACAUUUAUAGCAGAACUGAAUCCACCAGAGAAGAAGCUGGAUGGGCUGUGUCUACGCUUUAUAACUCACUCGAUUCUUUUUACAAUGCAUCAAACUAAAAGAUGACAAAUCCACUGUCACUACUGGACCCAGUGCAGCAGAUGAGCAAAUCCCACGAACUGGGGCAGCUGCAAAGUCUAGAACAAGGGUGCGGUGAGGAGCUUCCAUCCACUUUGACAUUCAGAACUAAAGGACCAUGUAAUAACUAUAAUGUGGUUAACAAGUUAUGGAACUGAAAACAGUAUGUAAUGUGCUGCUGAAAUAUAGAUUGCAUGCAUGUUCUGCGAGAAGCGUGUCAGAACAAAGAGCCGUGAGCUGCAGCUGAGCUCCCCUUCCAGUUUCUAUCCCACUGAUGGCACUGGCUUGGAGUUGGUGCACUUCAGCCUAUUUCCUUUCACCUCGGACUGCAGACCUCACUUUGCUCUCUUCCUUGCUCCAUUGCACAAAGGUCCUAUGGGGCUCAGCUCCAUUCAGCUACCUGGCAUUUGGGCAGUUACUCUUGGCAGUUUGGCUGCUGAGUGCUUCAGUCUGGCUCAAACCUUACUGACUUGCCAUGGAAUCUGUGGAAGAGGAGACUGGAUCUGCACCCCUGGCUGUGUAGCAUCAGGCAUCCCUGGCAGCAGGCAGGAGGAGAAGGAGAAGGAGCCCCCAACCCACUGGCCAAAUAGUCGUGUUUCUGUGUGUGAUGCUGUGACUCAUAUUUUUGUGCCUGAUAAUGGCGCUUUCUGAACAGCAGUGACAUUAGCUUAGUUAAACUAAAACUCAUCUGCGAUCUGAUUUUAUCUAAAGUGGUUUCUCUUUACCGCUGACAUCAAGAACUGCUGGCGUUCACAAAAACAACACCUACAGCCCAGGCUUUAACUGAUUUCAGGCUGCCUGCAUGCAUUAGUUGAGAACACUGUCAGUGUAGAAGCACAGCUCCAUGAGGCAGGCAGCUGUGUGGCUGGAUCCAGUCCGUACAGAGGGCAGAUCUAUGCAGGCAGGAAGGACCGUGCUCGGAUGGCAAUACUUGACUAACUGGAGCCCUGGCUGCAAGACAGAAGCUGAAAUCAAUGCUUGACCUGAGAUAAGGUGUUUUUGCCUGCUCCUCUAUUGAAGACUACCAUCUUCAAGUAGAUCUUCUAUUUAAGGAAAAUACUGCUCUCUGAAGAACCACCUGAGGAGGAACUGACUCAUAUGAUGUGGGGCCCAUGCUUCCACUCACCUAAGGGAGAUGUUUCGUUGCUUUUAUUCUGCCUCACAAACUGGGCCUUCCUACCUCAGUGCAGUUUUGUGUGCUGCAUCAAUUUCAGUCAGACUCCAAACCGAUGCGUAUUGCCACAUCCUUUAUAAACAACUGCAGAAACAAACCAGAAUAAAUAUGUGAUGGUCAGAAUUUAUUUUUGCUAUCGUACUUGUCUUCGGUAGGUGCAGCGGAGGCUGGUUUGGUGGUGGUUUUAUUUUUUUUAAUAUGUCAUCCUCCAUCACUCUUGUAGGAACAGGAAACUGCAAAUCCAACUGGAAAAUGGAUGUAGAGAUCGAAAGAACAUUCACCCAUUUCUCUGAAUAUGAGAAAGGGUGGAUGAUAGUGUAUGGGCUGCAAUGCUGUAUGAGGGCAGAGCUGCUCUCAGAUAAGUCAUCUGAGAUCUUUGUGUCAGUGAAAUGCCCUGUGCUCUGUUACCUGCUCGUGUUUGCCGUGUCCCAAACCUGAAUACCUGCACUUCUGCAUAGCAGGAUGGCAGCCUCUGGUUAGGGCUGUGAAAGCAAAUCCUGAAUGUAAGCAAUAGGUAUUGCUCCCUUGUUACUGACAGCUUUUAGUUCUGGAAAGAGUGAAAGAUAAACAUCGCCAGUGAAUGCAGUAGUAGAGGUCAGUUGGUAAAGUGACAGCCACCACAAAGACACCUCUGGUUUGAUGGAGUUGGCUCAGAGUAACCCUCCUUUCUCAUGUUAGCAGCUCUACAAUGUCAAAUUUAGUUUUUCCUUGUAAGUUUCUUUUUAAAAUACAAACUUUACAUAAACAGUCUAGCCCUAAACUGGGCUGCUAUUGAGCAAGAAAGGAAAUGGAAAAAGCAGCUGACAUGUUGUUUGAGCUCUGAGGGAGGAGGCUGAUAGCCUCUAGGCAGAAAGACCAAGAGCUGUUUUCUCAUCCUUCCUGUCCGCAAUGCUGUGACAGAGCUAUGAGGCUGGUAAGCAUCCUGUAUUAUUUCUGCUCUGAAACCACAUACAUAAUAUUUUACAAGGGAACAAGUAUGUUGAGCAUGUUGGCAUUCCACUUAGGUCAUUUGCUGGGGGUCAUCCUCAUGACCACUGCUUGAAAUGACCCCUUUGGGAGUUUUUUUGUUGUUCUUUCUGACCAUAGCAUGGGACUUUUCCCCUAUGCUGACCGCAGCUCAGCAGGAUGUGCCUGCAGAAUUACAUGAGCAUGAAGGUAGUGCAAAUGACAACAGGACUGCCUGUGUGAGAGUGACCGAGAUAUUCUGGUUGUUGGAAAUACAACAGUGAAAAACUUCUUCCUAUCAUUACAAUAAAAAACAAAAGAGCCUUGGAACCCUUAAUGUCAUGAAACUUCAGCACAGAAGUAUAUAAAUCCCAUGCAGAGUAGCAUGAAGGAAAUGAUUCAGUCAGAGGCUGAAAACUAGACAGAAGUACUUACACUGUAAAUAUCAAUAUGCUUGACUUUACCUGUUUUUAAACUUUGUUUACAUAAUAUGUGAGCUUAUUAAUUGGGUGUGUGAAGUCAAUUUUAAGGGUAUUUUGAGAAAUAAAUGAUAAAAUGAUGACCUAUGCAGAUUUGAACCCUGAAAAAUUGCCAAAAAACUCUCAGUGGCUGCAGCAUUUAAUCCCCAGAUGUACGUAUGUGUGCUGUGGAAGUGAGAUAACCUUUAAAACCAUUACCCAGAUGUACAGCAAGUUUUCAGAAUUGGUGCAAAGGAAAACCUUGCUCUUUAGUGGCUGAAGUGUGUUGUUGCUCUAAAUUCAACAAGGAAAUGGCAUGCUGGAAAAGAUGAGGUUUUUGAUAAUUAUGUCUCAGUGUGGAACAUGCACUGCUUGUUUUCCUAUAAAAGGCAAAUUGAAAAGGGAAUAUUAGAAAUACUAAUUGAAAAGGGAAGGGCUGUUUAGUACUGCUGCAAGAAAAACAUUGAAUUCACUUCAAAUUGUGUUUUCUCCUGUGCUUCCUACAUUCUGGUAUUUAAAUUGUGAGAACUGUCAGAAAGCUGUUCUGCAAACCUUUUGGGGUAAAUGUUAGGGGAUGAGAAGCUCUAAGAGAAGUUUAACCUUUCAGCUCUCCCGGCAGUGAUGGUGACACAAAUGGCUCAUUAGAGCUGAUGAAUGUAUUUAGUCAGACUUUUCCAAAGCAGAAGCUGCUGCAAAGAGCACAGGGUAAAAUUUAUUUUCUGAGAGAAAAUCGGCUUAAGGUCGUACAGAUCGCAUUUAAGCCUGAGUGCCUGGCCAAGUGCCACUGAACUGAAGUAUCUGAAUGGUUUCUGGAAACAGCAUGACUCUGCACAUCAGCAUCAUAUUAAUAAAUUACACUUCUGGCCCAAGUCAGGGCAGCAGAACCUAAUUCUGUAUCCAUUCUCUGUAAUGCCUCAUCCAAGCUGUUGUCUACAACGUUCCUCCAAGAAAGAAACUUGAAGGGAGGAACUGGUGACUAUUGUUUGCAUGGAGACUGAUAUAAAAUGUAACCCAGUGCCAACUCCCAGCUCAUCUCUCUAAGCGCUGGAUAGGUGGGUUGGUAUCAAAGCAUUUCUUGCUCUUCUGUAUGGCCUCCUAUUUGUUCUCUGCUCUGUUUUGCAAACAGUUGGGGAUGGUCUGUUCUGUGCCUUGUGCACCAAGCUGCUAUUUUUAAUGAAAAGCAUAUCAGAAGAAAACAUUUAAGCAAUACAAAGCAUGUAUUGAAAGUCUGAGCAGUUCUGCUGUGUGUGCAUGCAUGUGAAUGGAAAUAUGUAGCAUUUAAAGAAAAUAAAUAAAUAGAAAGCAGACAUUGCCACCAUGGUGACCUUUCCAUUUCUAGAAAUUCAAGUCCUGUGGUCUAUUUUGUUUUAGCAUUUUUGAGACACCUUCUGAAAACCUCAGGUCACCUUUUUCGCACAGAAAAGUGGGUUAGGGAUGAGGCUGCCUUUUCUGCUGAGUUCCAUAGUAAAGAUGUGGCUGCAGUGAUGUAUCCUGCUGACUGAAGCUAAUGAUGUCCUCCCUCUGUCUUUUGGGGGCACUUUUUUUUCUUCCUCUAUGGUCACUAAUAUAGAUGAACAUGAUCCAAAGUCCGCAGAGUGUGUGAAGUAGAUACUUCAUUUUGUUCACAUUUCCUCUAGUGGGAGGAAUAUUUCUCUUUAAUAGCCGUGUUUUAUGUUCAUGCUAUGGUUAUGUGUCAGAAAAGGACAAGAACACUGUUGAAACUUUUUAAAGUGCAUCUCUUAAAUAAAGCUGAUAUAUACGUAGAACUGAUUCUCAUAUUGAGGGCCAUUCCUCAUUUAUUGAAUUAAUUACUCAAGUCAUCAAGAAAAAACCUUUGAAAUGGAUUGGUUUCUGUCUUGAGAAUUCAUCAACUUAUUCUUGGGUUUACAAUCUUGUAAAACGUCAUAGCUUCUGGGAAUGCAGCUAUGUUGCCAACAAAUGAAGAUCUUGACUGAAGAUGGGGAAUCUAUAUAUUUCUACAUUUAUUUUCCUUUAUUUACAUACUGUGUGUACAUCAAAAUGAUGCAUAAAUAUGAAUAAUGGAUGAACUAAGAGUUUUUAGCAAUUAUCUUUAACAGUAAAAGAAAGACAUGAAAAAGUAUAUUACAUCAUAGAUUUGUAUGUAAGUAUCAUGUGUUACUAUUCAACAAGACCUAGACAGACUGGAGAGUUGGACAGGGAGGAAUCUGAUGAGAAUGAACAAGAGCAAGUGUAGAGUCUUGCACCUGGGGAGGAAUAACCGCAUGCAUCGGUACAGAUUAAGGGAUGACCUGUGAGAGAGAAGCUCUGUAGGCAAGGAUCUGAGUGUCCUGGUGGACAACAGGUUGGCAGUGAGCCAGCAUUGUGCCCUUGUGGCCAAGACAGCCAAUGGGCUCCUGGGUUGCAUUAAAAGAGCACGGCCAGCAGGUCAAGGAAGGUGAUCCUCCCCUUCUACUCUGCCCUGGUGAGGCCACAUUUAGACUACUGUGUCCAGUUCUGGGCUCAUCAGUUCACAAAAGACUGGGGUGUCCUAGAAGGAUUCUAGCAGAGGGCCACAAAGAUGAUCAAGGACCUGCAGCUUCUCCUGUAUGAGUAAAGGCUAAGUAACCUGGACCUGUUCAGCCUGGGGAAAAGACAAUUGAGGGAGGACAUGAUUAAUGUUUAUAAAUAUCUAAAAGGAGUUGAGAGACAAAUACAUGAGGCCAGGCUCUUCUCAGUGGUGUGUAACGACAGGACAAGAAGCAGUGGCCUAAAACUUGAGCAUAGGAAGUUCCAUAGAAACCUGCGGAAGUACUUCUUUAAGUAAUGGUGAUGGAGCACUGGAACAGGCUGCCCAGAGAGGUUGUGGAGUCUCCUUCUAUGGAGAUAUUCAAGACCCUUCUGAACACCAACCUAUGCAACCUAUUGUAGGGUGCCUGCUUCAGCAGGGAGUUGGACUUGAUGAUCUCUUGAGGUCCCUUCCGACCUCUGCAAUUCUGUGAUUCUGUGAAUAUUCAAAUAGUUAUGUAAUUUAUCUAGGUAUCCAAAAUUCUUAACAUAUUAUAGCAAAAGCUUUAAUUACCUGGGAGAUAAAACACUUUCCCUUUUCAAUUGUUUUUAUUUGCUUCUCUUUGCAAAAAAUCAGAAGAUGUUUUUAAAGUCUUGUUCUUUACAUACAGAAGUUCUGUUUAUCUGCCAAUUAUUAUAAUAUAAUAUAUUAUUAUAAUAUAUAAUAUAAUAAUAACAAUAUAAUACAAUUAUUCUCCUUAAAUACAAAAGUCUAGAAUCAAAUGUUCCAAAUGUGGCUGCCACUUUUUUAUCCUGUAUAAUUAAAUUUUUUAACAACUGAAAAAAUCAGGGCACUGCAGACAGGGUACUUAAUAUGAUUUAGUCUCUUUCCAUGUAUGCUGUAUGAAAUCACUGUAUGAAACCCACGCCUGCUGGAUUUACGACUCACAAAUUAAAUGCAGAUGCAAUAUUCAGAGUAAGAAUCUGGAUGACUAUGGAUGAGUAGAAGAAGAUGUGCCUGAAAAUAUUUUAGAUCAGUGGUUGUGACCCAUAAGAGUUAUAGUAAGUAUCCUAUUCCUUGUCAUGGUCCUGUAUGUGAGCUAUGAUACAUCCACAUUAAGAAAAACAAAAAAAACCCUAACCCAUCAUUAUGAUGAGUAUGGAAAUCUCAACAAAAACUGUCAUUUGACUUUUGGUCUGCAAAAAUCUGUGGAGCCGUUCCCCCAGAGGACUACAAAAUGCAGUGAUCCCCAAAGGCCAUUCUUGAGUAUGUUCCCUGGCCAGGCACCACCACUUCUAUUUGCUCGUAGCUGCUCUUCCUGGUUCUGGUUAUUUCCUGAAAUCACUGGAAACAGAACAUAAUUUUCCAAGAAGCUUAUUAGCUAAUUACGCUGCUAUGUUCUAGUCUCCAUCUCCAUUUCCAUUUUUACAUAUUCUAGGAAAAAAAAAUAUAUA